rnacentral:rRNA from 1 species
ACCCUUCUCUAAGGAAUAGCCACUGGAAACGGUGAGUAAUACCUUAUACGCCCUUCGGGGAAAGAUUUAUCGGAGAGGGAUCAGCCCGCGUUAGAUUAGAUAGUUGGUGGGGUAACGGCCUACCAAGUCUACGAUCUAUAGCUGGUUUUAGAGGAUGAUCAGCAACACUGGGACUGAGACACGGCCCAGACUCCUACGGGAGGCAGCAGUGGGGAAUCUUGGACAAUGGGCGCAAGUGAUCCAGCCAUGCCGCGUGAGUGAUGAAGGCCCUAGGGUCGUAAGCUCUUUCGCCAGGGAUGAUAAUGACAGUACCUGGUAAAGAAACCCCGGCUAACUCCGUGCCAGCAGCCGCGGUAAUACGGAGGGGGUUAGCGUUGUUCGGAAUUACUGGGCGUAAAGCGCGCGUAGGGGAUUGGAAAGUUGGGGGUGAAAUCCCGGGGCUCAACCCCGAACUGCCUCCAAAACUAUCAGUCUAGAGUUCGAGAGAGGUGAGUGGAAUUCCAAGUGUAGAGGUGAAAUUCGUAGAUAUUUGGAGGAACACCAGUGGCGAAGGGGCUCACUGGCUCGAUACUGACGCUGAGGUGCGAAAGUGUGGGGAGCAAACAGGAUUAGAUACCCUGGUAGUCCACACCGUAAACGAUGAAUGCCAGACGUCGGGGGGCUUGCCUUCGGUGUCACACCUAACGGAUUAAGCAUUCCGCCUGGGGAGUACGGUCGCAAGAUUAAAACUCAAAGGAAUUGACGG